UUCUGGGAGGAUUGACAGAUUGAGAGCUCUUUCUUGAUUCGGUGGAUGGUGGUGCAUGUCCGUUCUUAGUCGGUAGAGCGAUUUGUCUGGUUAAUUCUGAUAACGAAAGAGACUCAAGCCUAUUAAAUAGGUGCGUGGUUCUCUGCUCCUUGCACCCAUCUUAGAUGGACAAGCGGCUCCUAGCCGCACGAAAUAGAGCAAUAACAGGUCUGUGAUGCCCUUAGAU
rnacentral:rRNA from 1 species